rnacentral:rRNA from 1 species
GACGAACGCUGGCGGCGUGCUUAACACAUGCAAGUCGAACGGAAAGGCUCCAGCUUGCUGGAGUACUCGAGUGGCGAACGGGUGAGUAACACGUGGGUAAUCUGCCCUGCACUCUGGGAUAAGCCUGGGAAACUGGGUCUAAUACUGGAUAUGACCUUUCUCCUUAUGGGGUUUGGUGGAAAGUUUUUCGGUGUAGGAUGAGCCCGCGGCCUAUCAGCUUGUUGGUGGGGUGAUGGCCUACCAAGGCGACGACGGGUAGCCGGCCUGAGAGGGUGAUCGGCCACAUUGGGACUGAGAUACGGCCCAGACUCCUACGGGAGGCAGCAGUGGGGAAUAUUGCACAAUGGGCGGAAGCCUGAUGCAGCGACGCCGCGUGAGGGAUGACGGCCUUCGGGUUGUAAACCUCUUUCAGCAGGAACGAAGCGUAAGUGACGGUACCUGCAGAAGAAGCACCGGCUAACUAUGUG